AGCCAAAUUCCUAAUUUGACACCCCGGACUUCACUUCACUCCAGUCCUAAAUUUCUAAAAUCUCUGUCGCUUUGUUUCCACCUUCUUGCCGCCGCCGAUCUUUGUCACCAUUGCCUACCGCACAUCUGAAAUCCCCAAGUAAGUUCCUACUAGAGAGUACAAGCUCUAUACACCAAUUUCCAGUCUCCUCUCCUACGCUUUGUCCAAAGAGUCCAAACCUGACUCCCUAUAUAUUCUGAAUCAAUUCCUGCUGUCUUCUCCGGUUCUCUAUUUGAUCCCCGGCAGAGUUGCAGAAGUUGGGAAGGUUGGUUGAAAAAAAGGGUUGGGGUGAUCUUUGUUUAAUCAAGACGGAAGGCGACUGCUAAGCCAGCUCAAAGGUUGAUUAACCAUGUAGAAGACUCUGUUGAUUGACUAUGCAACUGAAGAUGUCAUCAAAUUAUAUAAAUGUAGCGAGAAUGUAUUAAACUGACUUUUACUUGUUUGUUUUCUCUUAUCUUUAUGUAUUGCAGCUGAAUACAUAUCAAUCUAAGUAUAGCUUAGUAUGUACUACAUAGUCUUCCACAAAAUUGCUUAACAAUCUUUGGAAGCAAAUUAAGGAUGUUCAAAUUAAACAUGUGCAAUUUGGUGAAUUGGAUAUGGAUUUGGAUCACUGGUUCUUGC